UUGGUCGAAAGCUAAUAUCAUUGUGCGAAUGAGAGCGGCGGGAAUCGUUAGAUGUUCAACUUUUUCGAAUGAGGUGCCAUAGUGGAUUUUCGGAUUGUACCAAGUUAACACGAAAUCUUUGUCGUCUCGUUAUUACAAGUAUUUAGUCCAUUUUUUUCUAAUGUACACAUCUUUUUUACAUAUCUAACGAUUCCUUACAAUAUGUUUUCUAAUAUGCAGUAUUCGCAAGUCAAAGUAUUAUCGGGUUAAACAAAUAUUCGUGAAAACAAAAUUCAGCGUUUAGGUGUCCUCUCGAAAGUUAUAAUGUAAAUCUUCAAAUUGAAGUUGUCGAGCGCCAUCAUUAAAAUCGAAUGUUCGAUAUUCUUGCAAUUAUCGAAUAUAUCGAAAUCUAUCGAAACGGCGUUCGUAUUCCGACAAGUGAAAGACAUCGAAAUUCUCUCUUCCCUAUUUCCGAGCAUUGUCCAAUGCGUUCGAGUCCAACACUAAUACAUAUACUCAGUUAAAUAACUGUGUUUAAUUUUUUUUCAUCGCAAAUUUAUCGAGGACUAUCUCGAGCGAAGGUGAAAACAAAACAACAGCCGAACUCUCGACACUCUCAAGGAUAAACAGUAACGUCGAUCUCAUUCCCCUUCCGUCCUUCGACACGUAAAGAUCGGC